AUUGAACGCUGGCGGCAUGCCUUACACAUGCAAGUCGAACGGUAACGCGGGGCAACCUGGCGACGAGUGGCGAACGGGUGAGUAAUGUAUCGGAACGUGCCCAGUAGUGGGGGAUAGCCCGGCGAAAGCCGGAUUAAUACCGCAUGAGACCUAUGGGUGAAAGCGGGGGAUCGCAAGACCUCGCGCUAUUGGAGCGGCCGAUAUCAGAUUAGGUAGUUGGUGGGGUAAAAGCCUACCAAGCCGACGAUCUGUAGCUGGUCUGAGAGGACGACCAGCCACACGGGGACUGAGACACGGCCCAGACUCCUACGGGAGGCAGCAGUGGGGAAUUUUGGACAAUGGGCGCAAGCCUGAUCCAGCCAUGCCGUGUGCGGGAAGAAGGCCUUCGGGUUGUAAACCGCUUUUGUCAGGGAAGAAAUCUUCUGGGUUAAUACCUCGGGAGGAUGACGGUACCUGAAGAAUAAGCACCGGCUAACUACGUGCCAGCCGCCGCCGCAG
rnacentral:rRNA from 1 species